UGAGUAACAGACAUAAAACUGAUUUUGACUAGCAAUUAAAAUUUAUUAAUUGAUUUAAGAAAAAAUCAAUGUAAGAAUUACAUUGAUCUUUAAUUUCAAAAGGCAAUAAUGAUUUCAACCCACUAUAAAUAUCAACAGAAAAUGUGUCUAUUUAACCAAAAGAACUCAAAAUUACUUGAGGAAAUGUUGUUCAUCACUAAGCAAUUGAUUUCCUUCACUCUACUUCUUUUUGUCAUCUUCCCUUCAAAUGAAUGUGUCAAAGGAAAUAACAACUUGAGUCCUAUGAGUAAAAAGAUAGAAUUAGAUAAGAAUUGUACAACAACUCUUGGUCCAUGUACCUCAAUAUGCAAUGCAAGAUGUUGCCAUAGGUUAUGUGACUUAUACCUUGGUAGUAGAACACACCAUGCAUUGGGAAUUUGCAAGUAUUAUAGUAGUUCCAAAUAUAAGACUUGUGUUUGUACUUAUGAUUGUACAUCCAAAUGAUGUCAAUUGGUUUCAUUUGAUUCAAAAGAAAUAUUAAUUACCCUUGUUUGAA